CACGUAGGGGGCGAGCGUUGUCCGGAUUUAUUGGGCGUAAAGAGCUCGUAGGCGGUUUCGUAAGUCGGAUGUGAAAACUCCAGGCUCAACUUGGAGACGCCAUUCGAUACUGCGAUGACUUGAGUCCGGUAGGGGAGUGUGGAAUUCCUGGUGUAGCGGUGAAAUGCGCAGAUAUCGGAAGGAACACCAGUGGCGAAGGCGGCUUUCUGGCCUGUUCUUGACGCUGAGGCGCGAAAGCCAGGGGAGCAAACGGG
rnacentral:rRNA from 1 species